GAUGAACGCUGGCGGCAGGCUUAACACAUGCAAGUCGAACGGGUGCAGCAAUGCGUCAGUGGCAGACGGGUGAGUAACACGUGGGAACCUUCCUAGGGGUACGGAACAACUCAGGGAAACUUGAGCUAAUACCGUAUACGUCCGUGAGGAGAAAGAUUUAUCGCCCUUAGACGGGCCCGCGUCGGAUUAGCUAGUUGGUGGGGUAACGGCCUACCAAGGCGACGAUCCGUAGCUGAUCUUAGAGGAUGAUCAGCCACACUGGGACUGAGACACGGCCCAGACUCCUACGGGAGGCAGCAGUGGGGAAUCUUGGACAAUGGGCGCAAGCCUGAUCCAGCCAUGCCGCGUGAGUGAAGAAGGUCUUCGGAUUGUAAAGCUCUUUUGCCAGGGACGAUAAUGACGGUACCUGGAGAAUAAGCCCCGGCAAACUUCGUGCCAGCAGCCGCAGUAA
rnacentral:rRNA from 1 species